CGCUUAUUGAAUACGCUUUACCUGUUUUGACAUUUGAAAGUUGAUUUGAAAGUCGCCUUGGAAUAAAUUCGAUUCACAAAUACCGUCAAAUUCAUCAGCUUUAAUUUCGCAUCGCGAUGCUGCAAUGACCGUUUGACCGUUUUAGUUUCAGGGGCAGCCAGGUGUCCCUGUGAUAAGCGCUGCCCCACACCUCCAGGAGCAGAGUUCCGUACGUGAUGUUUGUCGUGUUCUCCAAAUGUCUUCGUGGAGGUUCCUUUAGGACUCCGGUUUCCUCGCCCCCUCUCCCAGUUCAAAAACAUGUCUUGUCUCUAGUUCUAUGCUGUCGACAUGGUUCCUGUGUCCCAGCCAGGCAAACAGACACUCCCCCAUAGAGCUCUCGCAGCCAUGCGGGAUCCUUCAGCGAGGGCUCGUCAUGCCAGGAAGAGAGGGCGGGGCUGUUCUGUACAGGAAGGGACACUGGCUGCGCAUCACCUGGAUGCUAUGCCAUGCUCCUCCCUGCCCCAUCCAUGUGUCUGCACUGGUGUUUCCAAAAGCAGAAAUCUUUCACACUGAUAACUGGGUUCAGUAAAAAAUGUGCAGGGC